rnacentral:tRNA from 1 species
GGGCGGUUAACUCAGUGGUAGAGUGCUUCGUUCACAUCGAAGAAGUCAGAGGUUCAAAUCCUCUACCGCCCA